GUAAAUAAGGGGACGUUUGGUGUGAGGUACUAGAGUAAAUAAUCUUGGAAUAAAAUAAUAGUCCCGGAAUAAAAAAUUUAAUCCAUUGUUUGGUUGCUAAUAUUCGGGAUAACUUAUUCCGGGAUUAAUAAAUUGUACCGGAGUAUGGUGGGAUACAAUCCCAUCAUAAUUUAUCCUUGGGAUAAAACUAUAAAAUGACAAGAUUACUCCAAACCCAUUACAAACACAUUUCUCCAAUCUUCUUCAUCUCCUCUUAGUUCUUCAAUCUCUAAUUAUUACUUUUGAAAUUGAAAAAAUAUUAUUGAUAUCUAUUUGAUUAUCUAAAACGCGCUAUUUAUGAUAAAUUAAAAAGACUAAAUAUCUUAUUUUGGAACGACGAAAAUAGAUGACUGAGAAAAAUUAACCUCUUAUUAAUUGAAUUUUGCAUUUUUUUUCAUCCCAUUGCUUGUGAAUUUCAUAAACGUAUACGUUGUUCUCUUAUAUAAAGGAUCAAAGUGCAAAGUUAACAAAUUAAAAAUCAAAAUAUGUUAGAUUCAUACAUAAUAAGGAUCAAAACUAGGUACUAUAAUUUUUUAUAUAUCCGACAAAAUGUAGGUACUAUAAUUUUUUAAGCAUAGAAAAACGGAAUUCAACAUCAACUUUUUCCUUCCAAGUGUUAUUUUUGUAAAUUGAUAACACGAAAAGUUCUUACUACACAAUGAAAAGAUUAAUUAAAGUAAGUAGAUUUUAUAAUAAUAAUUACCAUUCAUUGAUAAUCUGUAAAAUAUUUUAGCAACUAUAAAGGUGUUGCCUAGUUUUAAUACACAUUAUUAUUUCACAAUCGACUUCAUUGUUCAAUUACAUAUUUUAAAUUAAAUAAUUUUUUAAUCACUUAAAAAUUG
rnacentral:lncRNA from 1 species